ensembl:lncRNA
GCUUUCAACCAGGAAGUGAGAUAACAUUUUACAUAAAGGCUUGGCUGAGCUGUGUGCUUCAUCCUUAUUCACUUCCUUCCACGUCUGCCUUGGAGCCCUUGAGCAUAUCUCCUCCAUCAACACAGACACUAGUGGUAAAUAGAAGAUGAAGUAACACAGCUGAGGGAAACAAGCCCAUGAAAGAAAUGAAUCAACUUCAGCGUUGAUCCCCAUCACUGGGACAGAGUUCAGUAUGCAAACACUCAGAGGUGGCUGACCGCAACCAGAACAUCUACCCAACCCGGAACAAGGUCUGCAAGCCCUGUAGCUGCCCAGCCUCAAGGCAGAAGAAAGAGCCUGGAGACAGUGAGAGAGACAUCAAUGGCUUAUUGGACAGAGGAAUCUUGAGUCUGAAGCAAAAGUUCCUGGAGCGUCAACCCAUUGUGUGCAGCAGACGUGACAGCAGUCUUCACUACUCAGGGG